UGGUCAGUUUUGGCAACUCCUAUACAACAAGUAAAGUAGCCCGUGAGGUAAGGUUGGGUCAACGAUAGUUUAUUAAUUUCCCUAAAUUCCUAGCUGUUGAUCUACUUUAAUAUUAUCUAGAAUGUGUGUAACCUAAUUUGCAGGUUUUAACUGGAUCAAAUAGGGCAACCAAAGACCUAUAUGGGUUCACUUCAUUUUUUAUAUGUUUAGAAAUCAAAGUUCGAAUUUGGUUGUUGUUUACUUAUGUAGACCACAAGUUAGUCUGUCUAAUUCUAUUUUUUUUUUUUUUAAUAUUUAGGUAUAUUAAUUAUGGUAGGGGAAUUAUAUUAAUGGUGCAUAUCUUUCUUCAUCAAAUUAAUUGGCCUUGUUCAAUUAUAUUUGAUUGUACCACUCAUGAUAGCAUGCUUUUCCAUAUGCAUCUUUAGUUUAUCUUGGCUGUUAUAAUUGUUUUGAUUGCAACAACAUGACUCAGGGAGAAUGGUACCACCUGCUCAAAUGUGUCCCGGUACCGAGCUUCUGCAGGUUCUACAAGUCAAGCUUCCUUCGUCUUCUCUGUAUUGAUCGUUGGCAAAAUGGGUGCAACCCUUGACUGUUGGACACAUCUAUUUUAUCUAUGCUUGGAAAUCAUGCUCAUGGUCAUGCCUAAUUAAAAGGCCUCCAGGUUUUUGCAAAAUUGAUAGCAAUAUGCAAAUUUAUGUUGGUGCUGAUGUCCUUGAUGGAGGCUACUGUACUCUGUUUAAAUCUUGAUAUUGUUACAAAUAAUCAGUCCGAUGAUGUUGCUUCUGGAUAACUGUUUUUGUAGUAAACUGAAUACGAAUAAUAAUGUUGAUUUGUGUCUAAUUGCUUUUUGUACUGAUGGGUUUAGGCUUGGAGGGCUUUUGGAAGUGAUUGGAUCAGUAAGAUUUCAUUGCUAUAAAUGGUGAGACCCCUAAAGUAGGACAUUAUGCUUUUGUUGUUAA